GACGAACGCUGGCGGCGUGCUUAACACAUGCAAGUCGAACGGAAAGGCCCUGCUUUUGUGGGGUGCUCGAGUGGCGAACGGGUGAGUAACACGUGAGUAACCUGCCCUUGACUUUGGGAUAACUUCAGGAAACUGAGGCUAAUACCGGAUAGGAGCUCCUGCUGCAUGGUGGGGGUUGGAAAGUUUCGGCGGUUGGGGAUGGACUCGCGGCUUAUCAGCUUGUUGGUGGGGUAGUGGCUUACCAAGGCUUUGACGGGUAGCCGGCCUGAGAGGGUGACCGGCCACAUUGGGACUGAGAUACGGCCCAGACUCCUACGGGAGGCAGCAGUGGGGAAUAUUGCACAAUGGGCGGAAGCCUGAUGCAGCAACGCCGCGUGCGGGAUGACGGCCUUCGGGUUGUAAACCGCUUUCGCCUGUGACGAAGCGUGAGUGACGGUAAUGGGUAAAGAAGCACCGGCUAACUACGUGCCAGCAGCCGCGGUGAUACGUAGGGUGCGAGCGUUGUCCGGAUUUAUUGGGCGUAAAGGGCUCGUAGGUGGUUGAUCGCGUCGGAAGUGUAAUCUUGGGGCUUAACCCUGAGCGUGCUUUCGAUACGGGUUGACUUGAGGAAGGUAGGGGAGAAUGGAAUUCCUGGUGGAGCGGUGGAAUGCGCAGAUAUCAGGAGGAACACCAGUGGCGAAGGCGGUUCUCUGGGCCUUUCCUGACGCUGAGGAGCGAAAGCGUGGGGAGCGAACAGGCUUAGAUACCCUGGUAGUCCACGCUGUAAACGGUGGGUACUAGGUGUGGGGUCCAUUCCACGGGUUCCGUGCCGUAGCUAACGCUUUAAGUACCCCGCCUGGGGAGUACGGCCGCAAGGCUAAAACUCAAAGGAAUUGACGGGGCCCCGCACAAGCGGCGGAGCAUGCGGAUUAAUUCGAUGCAACGCGUAGAACCUUACCUGGGUUUGACAUGGAUCGGGAGUGCUCAGAGAUGGGUGUGCCUCUUUUGGGGUCGGUUCACAGGUGGUGCAUGCCUGUCGUCAGCUCGUGUCGUGAGAUGUUGGGUUAAGUCCCGCAACGAGCGCAACCCUUGUUCACUGUUGCCAGCACGUUAUGGUGGGGACUCAGUGGAGACCGCCGGGGUCAACUCGGAGGAAGGUGGGGAUGACGUCAAGUCAUCAUGCCCCUUAUGUCCAGGGCUUCACGCAUGCUACAAUGGCUGGUACAGAGAGUGGCGAGCCUGUGAGGGUGAGCGAAUCUCGGAAAGCCGGUCUCAGUUCGGAUUGGGGUCUGCAACUCGACCUCAUGAAGUCGGAGUCGCUAGUAAUCGCAGAUCAGCAACGCUGCGGUGAAUACGUUCCCGGGGCU
rnacentral:rRNA from 1 species